AAACUGGGAAAAUGGCGGAGGCUUCUGAGUUGGUGGUCCUCCACUCUCCCGCGAGCAAGGACAUGACGGCGGAGACAAACAGCCAGGCCUUGGAACCCAACACUCUACAAGAGGAAUUUCGGGUGCGCAGCACUUCGAAGCGGACUGUGACGGAAAUGCUACAGCUGUGCAGUUGCUUCGUGCAAAAGCUCAGGGACACUCUCCUGGAGGAGAUUCAGGAGCCCGCCCUGCAAGACGCGCAGUGGAUUUUUGAGUCAGCUGUGCAAGAGAAUGUCAGCAUUAAUGGGCAAGCAUGGCAGGACACUUUAGAUGAUUGUCUUAUGGAUUCUGACAUCAAAGAACUUGAAGAUCAGUUUGACGAAAUCAUAGUAGAUAUAGCAACAAAACAUAAGCAGUAUCCCAGAAAGAUCCUGGAAUGUGUCAUCAAAAUCAUAAAAGCAAAAUAAGAAAUUCUGAAGCAGUACCACCCUGUUGUAUAUUCAUUGGUCCUAAAAUGUGACCCUGAUCUAGACUCUCAUAUGGAAAAUUUGAAAUGCAGAGGAGAAACAAUAGCUAAGGAGAUCAGUGAAACCACGAAGUCCUUGCCUACACUAACUGAACAAGGAGAUGGAUUUGCUCAAAUUUUAAAGAUGCAGCCUAUUAUCCAGCUCCAGAGGGUCCACCAGGAAGUUUUUUCCCGUUGUCACAGGAAACCAGAUGCUAAACUGAGAGCUUUAAAACACAU